GCUAUUGUAUCAUAUAUUUAAUGUGCUUAUUUUAAGUGUGAGUUAAUUUUAUAGCU
rnacentral:tRNA from 1 species